rnacentral:rRNA from 1 species
GAUGAACGCUGGCGGCGCGCCUAAUACAUGCAAGUCGAGCGAACAGACGAGGAGCUUGCUCCUUUGACGUUAGCGGCGGACGGGUGAGUAACACGUGGGUAACCUACCUAUAAGACUGGGAUAACUUCGGGAAACCGGAGCUAAUACCGGAUAAUAUUUCGAACCGCAUGGUUCGAUAGUGAAAGAUGGCUUUGCUAUCACUUAUAGAUGGACCUGCGCCGUAUUAGCUAGUUGGUAAGGUAACGGCUUACCAAGGCAACGAUACGUAGCCGACCUGAGAGGGUGAUCGGCCACACUGGAACUGAGACACGGUCCAGACUCCUACGGGAGGCAGCAGUAGGGAAUCUUCCGCAAAGGGCGAAAGCCUGACGGAGCAACGCCGCGUGAGUGAUGAAGGUCUUCGGAUCGUAAAACUCUGUUAUUAGGGAAGAACAAACGUGUAAGUAACUGUGCACGUCUUGACGGUACCUAAUCAGAAAGCCACGGCUAACUACGUG